rnacentral:misc_RNA from 1 species
GUGUUCGAAAUGCACGGCGAGCCUUCAGAAACACAACACUGGCAUCAGUAGAGAAUAGACAGCAAAGCACCAAGUUCUAUCUCAUGUCAAGAAAAUGAAGUUCAAAGGCAGAACAUAAAACUCAAGGCAAAGGUACAGUGUACAUUGAAAUCAAAAUAACAUAGACAUAACUCAUAUUUGACUAGCAAAAUCAUCUGCAAAAUAACACUGAAUUUUAGCUCCUUUAUUGCUUAAGAACUAAAGAAACUUAUAUCAGUACGAUGCAAUCAGUGGAUAACCACAUUACUUUAUCCAUGCAACUGGAGACUUUCAUACCCACUUUGCCAUAUAGUAUUCAGUAGCUACCUGACCAAUGUAACUUUCAAUUAUUGGAGGCGCACUGCCUAAUUUCUAAGUGUAAGAGGCUACAUUUCCAAAUUGAGAUUUCACUCAUUGCCCAAAACAGUUUAUGGAUGACACACCUAUAUUUGCUGCGUAUUUUCCCUCUAUCGGUUAAAGUGAGCAAAAGGUUUCAAGCACGUAAAUGCUUGAAGAGAACCCAUAAGUUUAAGUGUACAAGGGUGAAAGAGAUACAUCUUGAUAGUUAUAAACAGACACAUGCAUACAAAUCAGAGUCACGGAUAAACAUUUUAUA